rnacentral:rRNA from 1 species
UUUCGACCUGAGGUCAGGCAAGAACACCCGCUGAACUUAAGCAUAUCAAUAAGCGGAGGAAAAAGAAAACUAACUAGGAUUUCCCUUUAGUAGCGGGCGAAGC